rnacentral:sRNA from 1 species
UCCUCCUCCUCCUUCACCACACAGGUCAGGAGAUACUCCUUAAAGCUUUGUCAUCAACAGUUGUUCAUUGUGUGUUGUCCUUAAGCUUCCAGGGCCUCCGCUGAAGUCUGGGAGGAAUCUUAGCUGAGGACCUGGGUUCAGUUCCUAGCACAUGGUGGUUCACAAACAUCUUAAACUUGAGUUCCGGGUGUUGUGUUUUCUGGUGUCUGAAGCCAACACUUCAUACACAUGGCGAGGCAUGGAUGUACGAGCAGGCCAAGUACUCAUGGAUUUAAAAGAAAUCUUCAAAACAAUCCUAUAACCGGACAGACUGACGCUGAGUCCCACAAAAGGCCCCAAGGAAAACAACUUCACUGGGACCCUUCUGAACUUUGCUCUACGGGCUUUGAUCUCCAAAAUGUCGAGAUCUGAGUGUAAGUCAUCUGAGAUGAGGGAACCUUAGCUGAUAAAAUGCCUUCUUCAGAUCGACCACAAUACCUCCUUUAGAUCGGCCACGUUCAGUGUAGCGGGAAAUAUUUAAAAAAGGAGCACCAUCUCACGCUAGCACCGGCACCUCGGGUCACAUGGCACCAGCGUGGGGGUGUUCUCAUCUCAGCCAGCCAGAUUCUGCAGACUCUCUAGCCUGGAGCUCUUGAAAUGUCUAUACCCGACUUGCUGUGUUCCCACGUCAGGUUGCUGCCACGCCAGCCCCAUGCAAUGACUGCCCAUCUCACCGUUGGCUGUCACAAAUUCCUGUAUCCCGGCCAAAUCAAAACUCUUGAAGCUUGUAAUUUAUCAAUCAGAUUUAUAUCAGUAAAUUAUGACCCCAUAAAAUGUCCACACAAUAAAUUCACCUAGAUAAGACAAAUUGUCCGGUAAUUAUCCAUUCUUUACAAGAUAGUCAUAGCUACCUGUGACUAUUUAAAGUCACACGGAACUGGGUCAUCCUUCUCUUCCUCCAUCUUCCUCCUCCUCUCUUCCCCCCUCUGACCGGGAAGUCCCACCUACUCCUUGCCCAGUGAAAUCUGUAUUCAUUAGGGGAAGGUCCCUGCCACAGCUCAGGGCUAUCCUCCAGGCCAAACUGCCACCUUCUUUACAAGUUUAGCUGGACCUGCUCUCCAACAAUCCCCACAGCGGGACGUGUAGGUGGU